AAAAGUCGCUGCUUCUAUCUUUAUUUAUCUGUUAAAAUUUCUCCUCUCCUUUUCCAGUUUUCCCCAAUCCCAGUCUCCUCCUCUCUAUCUACACACUCUCUCUCUAGUCGCUCUUUCUCUCUCCUCGAUAAAACCCUAGAAACCUAGCGAGGGUUCGCCGCCCUCGAAAUCCUAGAUCAUGAAGGGCCCGAAGCCGUUGAAGCAGCUCAAGGUCGCCGUGCCGGCCCAAGAAACCCCUGUCGACAAGUUCUUGACAGCGAGCGGGACGUUCACGGACGGAGGCUUGCGGCUGAAUCAGAGAGGGUUGCGGUUGAUCUCUGAACAAACCGAGAAUCGCGUGCGGCAACCAGAUGUUAAGGAGGAGGAUAUGCAGUUCUCGUUGGAAGACCUUGAGACCAUUAAAGUUAUUGGGAAGGGGAGUGGAGGUGUUGUUCAGCUUGUGCGGCACAAAUGGUUGGGAACACUCUAUGCCCUAAAGGGCAUUCAGAUGAAUAUUCAAGAGACAGUUCGUAAACAAAUAGUUCAAGAGCUUAAAAUAAAUCAAGCAUCACAGUGUCCACAUGUUGUUGUUUGUUACCAUUCUUUCUACCAUAAUGGUGUAAUUUCUCUUGUCCUGGAAUACAUGGAUCGAGGAUCUCUGGCUGAUGUAAUUAAACAAGUGAAAACAAUUCUUGAGCCAUAUCUUUCAGUUGUUUGCAAACAGGUUUUGAAGGGUUUAGUAUACCUGCACCAUGAAAGACAUGUGAUUCACAGAGACAUAAAACCAUCAAACUUGUUAGUAAAUAACAAAGGUGAGGUAAAGAUAACGGAUUUUGGAGUGAGCGCGGUGCUUGCUAACUCCAUGGGUCAACGAGAUACAUUUGUAGGCACCUACAAUUAUAUGUCGCCUGAGCGGAUCAGUGGAAGCUCAUAUGAUUAUAAGAGUGACAUUUGGAGUUUGGGCUUGGUAAUACUUGAGUGUGCUAUAGGCUGCUUUCCUUAUAUACCAUCUGAACAAGAGGAAGGUUGGCCAAGCUUUUAUGAGCUUUUGGAGGCUAUUGUGGAUCAGCCACCACCUUCUGCCCCAUCAGAUCAAUUUUCUCCAGAGUUUUGUUCGUUUAUAUCAGCUUGGCUUCACUAGAUCUGCAAACAGUUUCAGAUCUUAUCCCUUGUAUGUUUUAUAAGCAUACAAAAGGAUCCUCAUGAAAGAAUGUCGUCUUUGGAGCUCUUGAAUCAUCCAUUCAUCAAAAAGUUUGAGGAGAAAGACAUUGAUCUGGCAAUCCUUGUUGGCAGCUUAGAUCCUCCUGUAGAUGUACCUGGUGAUGUGUAAUUAUGUGAUGGUUUCUGCAUAAUGUAAAAUAACAACGGGAGCUAAAGAUGUUGCCAGUUCACUUUGCCCUCCUGCAGCUCUCUGGUUUGUUGCUGCUCUAGUUGAAGUCAUGCAUAUACUCUGCAUGAGAUUCACGCGAGCAUCCACGGAGGUGCGUAAAUGUACCACUUAGUUCUCCAGCAAAGAGCUAUUAAAAUCCAUAUUGCGAUGUCAAUCGCUACGCAGUAAUAUAUGCGGAUCCAGCCACGGUCAAAAAAUUGGCAAUUUAUAUUCCAAUCAAACGCAAAACAUGUAAGCAGUGGAGUAUAAUUUAUCAGAAAGACUCGCUAGGAUUGGAUCUGGAACAUCUGAGUGCAACAUAAGAAAUUUUUAUAUUUCUUGUUGCACUGAACUUGUUUUUAUCUAAAAAAUCCCACCAUUUGAUCGUA